rnacentral:rRNA from 1 species
GACGAACGCUGGCGGCGUGCUUAACACAUGCAAGUCGAACGGAAAGGCCCUGCCUUUGUGGGGUGCUCGAGUGGCGAACGGGUGAGUAACACGUGAGUAACCUGCCCUGGACUUUGGGAUAACUUCAGGAAACUGGGGCUAAUACCGGAUAGGAGCUCCUGCUGCAUGGUGGGGGGUGGAGAGUUUUGGCGGUUGGGGAUGGACUCGCGGUUUAUCAGCUUGUGGGUGGGGUAGUGGUUUACCAAGGCUUUGAGGGGGAGCCGGCCUGAGAGGGUGAGCGGACACAUUGGGACUGAGAUACGGCCCAGACUCCUACGGGGGGCAGCAGUGGGGAAUAGUGCACAAUGGGCGGAAGCCUGAUGCAGCAACGCCGCGUGCGGGAUGACGGCCUGCGGGUUGUAAACCGCUUUCGCCUGUGACGAAGCGUGAGUGACGGUAAUGGGUAAAGAAGCACCGGCUAACUACGUG